AGCUACAUCACCCCCUGAGGAAGUAUGGAAUAAAAGGACGGAAUCAGUGACACGGAAUGGAAAACAAAUUUGCAUCCACCUAGGUUAGCUCUAUGAACCGCAAGAUGGGCAAAAUAAAGGAAAAGUGGCUGGUUAACAUCGUGGUCCCUGAUGAUUUCCUGGGCGCGGCGGGUAAAUACACGAGUUGCGUACUCAUCAGUCAGGUAUAAAAAGUACACUGGGAUAGCCGAACGGGCUGAAGUCAACGAAAACGGAGAAUGCUGCGAAUAACCUGUUCAGGACACAAGGACUACCUAUGCUACAAGGAAACACUCUCCUUAAGCAAGCAUGACUCGAGACAACAUGAUAUAAAUAUAAUACAGUUU